ACUAUUUGAUAGCAUUAUUACAACCAUUAUCUUCGGUUGAAAUCAGCUGGAUCUCCUUAUAACCUGUGUGAUUGGGUUUCCACAAACUCAAUUGUAUUCAACACUUUGUUCAAUUCCUAUGAUACACACCUGUGCAAUUGGAACCAAUGCCACUCAGUCUCCGUAAUGCACCCCGGAAACCAAUUUAGUUACAAGUCAGCUGCUUUGUAGUUGGGCUCUGUUCACAUUUUUAUAACCUGGCUGCCGUAAUCAGAUCCAUUUGUCUCGAUUUGGUUACGUUUUGGUUGUCAAUACUGUGAACCACCGAGAAUUUUAACAACCGAAUGAAG